rnacentral:rRNA from 1 species
CUAUCAAAAAAAAACGAAAGAGAGCAGUGUGGGAGGUAGCAUCACUCUCUGAGGACAUCGAAGUGCCGACCAUAAACGAUGUCGCCGGCGAUUAGGCAGUCCAAUCCAAUGAGCGGCCAAGCCGCUGCCGGCCAACCAAGGUCUUUGGGUACCGGGGCCACAAGGGCUGCGAAGCUGAAAAUUAAAGGAAUUGACGGAAGGGCACCACCAGGAGUGGAGCCUGCGGCUUAAUUUGACUCAACACGGGAAACCUCACCCGGCCCGGACACGGACAGGAUUGACAGAUUGAUAGCUCUUUCUCGAUUCCGUGGGUGGUGGUGCAUGGCCGUUCUUAGUUGGUGGAGCGAUUUGUCUGGUUAAUUCCGAUAACGAACGAGACUCUGGCAUGCUAACUAGUUACGCGACCCCCGAGCGGUCGGCGUCCCCCAACUUCUUAGAGGGACAAGUGGCGUUCAGCCACCCGAGAUUGAGCAAUAACAGGUCUGUGAUGCCCUUAGAUGUCCGGGGCUGCACGCGCGCUACACUGACUGGCUCAGCGUGUGCCUACCCUACGCCGGCAGGCGCGGGUAACCCGUUGAACCCCAUUCGUGAUGGGGAUCGGGGAUUGCAAUUAUUCCCCAUGAACGAGGAAUUCCCAGUAAGUGCGGGUCAUAAGCUUGCGUUGAUUACGUCCUCCCCCUUUUGUAAAAAAGAUUUACGGGCUCUGCGGCGCCGCGGCGGGGGGGGGGCCGCGGGGGGGGCGGGGGGGGGGCGGACGGGGGGCGCGCCGCCCCCGGCCGGCCCCCCCCCCGCGGCUCUCGUAAGGUGUUGAGGCGGGAAGGGAACUAGGGUGUAUGAUAAUUGGUGAUGUAGGGUCGGGGACCCAGAGUUUAUUGUGAAUGGGUUCAUUAUGCAAGCUCUGGGGAAUGGGGGUGGGGUAUAAAAUGAGUGAGGUAGUUGUUGCGGAAUUGUGAUUAUUUCGAUUCGUGAUCGUAGGCGAUGGAGGGUGUAAAUGGGAACCCGGUAAUGUUGGGUAUGGAGAUGUGCGUCGAAAGAGGAAGUUGUGUGAGUGUAAGGAUUAGUGCUCGUAAGUGGAGAGUGUGUUAUGGUGAGUUGGGCACCCGGCGGGGUGCGACGUAACUGGAGGAGAUGGGAUAGUAUGUGUAGUUAGGUCUGAUUUGUGAGAUGUUGGUGAUUUGGUAGAAAUUAUAUAAAGUGAGGAGGGGUGGCGGCGUAGAUGCGACGA